rnacentral:rRNA from 1 species
UACGUAGGGUGCAAGCGUUGCCCGGAUUUAUUGGGCGUAAAGGGCGCGUAGGCGGCUCUGCACGUCCGUUGUGAAAUCGCCCGGCUCAACUGGGCGGGGUCAGCGGAUACGGCAGAGCUUGAGCAAGCUAGGGGGCAAUGGAAUUCCCGGUGUAGUGGUGGAAUGCGUAGAUAUCAGGAGGAACACCGGUGGCGAAGGCGGGUCUCUGGGCCGAUAUCGACGCUGAGGAGCGAAAGCGUGGGGAGCGAACAGG